AUGAUAGCAAUGUUUUAGUAGGCUUUAUCUUCGUCUUGGAAAAGGAACCAUGCAUGAUUUGCCAAUUCUUAAUUUUGUUCUUUCAAAUGCAUUGAUAGGAGUUGAAACCAGAUAAGCACUAUGCUCGUCUCCCUUUUUGAUUGUCUAAUGCACUUCCAAUCUUUGGAGAGAAUUUAUAUACACAGCUAAGAACACUCACUAGAAACUUCCUAACCGAUAGUGUUCAUAAUUCUAAAUGAAACAAAUUGUUGGAGUUCCUGCUUGUAUCUAUCCUGUUAUUUCCUAAACAGGAACUAAAUAUCAAUGAUAUUUAAAAAAAUUAAGAAAGUAGAGUGUUUUAAAAAUAUUCUAUUAAAUUCAAUAAUUACAUAUAGGCUAUAUAAGAAUCAAACCCUUGUACCAACUUAAGUAUGUUACACACAUGAAAUAAUAAGAACUAGUUGUGAACAUCAAAUAGGCUCUAGGACCAAAGGGCCGCCAGAGCAAAGAAGGUAUGCAAAGUUGGGAGGGUAAACGGGUUGGCGUGCACUCCAUUGGUGAUCAUACAGCCAUUGAGCUCAUUGGUAGGGACCGGCCAGGUCUUUUGUCUGAGAUAUCAGCCGUCCUUGCAAGCCUCCAAUUCAAUGUGAUUGCGGCUGAAGUUUGGACUCAUAACAGGCGAAUAGCAUGUGUCCUUUAUGUCAAUGAUGCUACAAACCAGGCUAUGGAUGAUGACUCGAAAAGGUUGUCUAUCAUCGAGGAGCAGCUCAACCACAUCUUACGCGGAUGUGAGGAUGACGAGAAAGAGAAAGUGGCUCGGAAGACCAGUUUCUCCAUGGGCUUCACCCACAUGGACAGGAGGCUCCACCAAAUGUUGUUUGCUGAUAGGGAUUAUGAGAGUGCUGCUGGAGUAACCACAACAAAUGUUGAUUGUCCCUCUUUCAGGCCAAAUAUCAAAAUAGAACGUAUUGAGGAAAAAGGUUACUCUGUGGUUAGUGUGAGAUGCAAAGAUCGGGCAAAAUUGAUGUUUGACAUUGUCUGCACUCUCACUGACAUGGAAUAUGUUGUUUUUCAUGCCUCAAUCUCAUCUGAAGGCCCUUAUGCAUCACAGGUUUGCAAUGCAUAUAUCAUUUAUCAAUAACAACAUUCCAUUCUGUAUUUUGUAUUUACCAAUUACACACAGACACAUGAAAUGUGGACUAAGGUGUUGAUGUGUUAAUUCUUAGGAGUACUUCAUCAGGCAUGUGGAUGGAUGCACACUUGACACUGAAGGGGAGAAAGAAAGGGUCAUCAAAUGCAUUGAAGCCGCUAUUCAAAGAAGAGUAAGCGAGGUAAUACUCACAGUUUAAAUUUAAUUUUUGUUUGUUACUUUAAUCCUUGUUAGAAAAGAAGACAAGGAUGAAAUUCUGGUUCUCAACUCUUAUCAGUAAGUCUUUCAUGCUCUAAUAAGGAACUUGGUUACUGACUUAAUAUUUCUCUUGACAUGUAUUCCCCAUAGCUUCAUGUGUUCUUCUAGCUGAAGUCAGCGAUCUACUAUUCUUUUCUUUCUGCACAUUAGCUUUCCCUCUUUCUUUCCGUGAAUAUUCAGCAGAAAGUCUUCUGAGUUUGACCAAAUUAAUACAUUUUGCACCUGCAGCUAUCUACUUGUAUUGUUGCGAAUGGUACGGUAUACAUACAUGGGGAUAAGUUCCACUCAGAUUGUAUCUGACCAUCGUAUCCACCAAUGAAUCGGUGACGGUUGAUUGAUGGUCUUUUGUCUUCACUAGAGCUUAAGAUUCCUUAUGCUCCACGUAAUAUCAUCCACAUCUCUAUAACCUCAAAAUAUAUAAAAUAAAAGUAAAUGUGAUUUUAGUCUCCAUAAAAUCAUGACUAUCCAACUUUAGUCUUCAUUAAAAUUUUAUUCAUUUUUAAUCUUUAUGGUUAACUAAUUUUAAUAAGUUCUUGGCAGGACUAAAAACAUAGUUUUAUAUAGGCUAAAUUACAUCCGUGGUCCCUUAACUUAAUUUCAGGUAACGUUUUAGUCUUUUAUCUUUCUUUUUCCGAUUUAGUCAUUUAUUCCUAAAAAUAUCAAAUAAAGUAUGAAAAUAUGAGUUUAUUUGAAGAUUUACGUUACGAAUUUGAUGAAAUUUGUAUUAUAUUGAAGAAUAUAAUUAAUUUUAUGAGUUUUAAUUGAAUUUUUUUUUGAAUUUUUGUAUAAAAAAGGAUAUCAUCGUUGAAAUUUUAAAACAUAAAAUAUCAAAUUGUCACUUAAAUUUAAAAUAAAGGACCAAGUCGGAAAAAAAAAAAAGAUAAAGGACUAAAACGUUACCUGAAAUUAAGUUAAGAGACCACAAAUGUAAUUUAGCCUUUUAUAUAUUACGGGACUAUUUUUUUAAAAGUUUCGUAGACUAAAGUUGAAUUGUCGUGAUUUUGUAGGGACCAUAAUUAAUUAAUGGUGUUGAAUGUGACAAAUAUAUGUCACCAUCAGUCAUAUAUAUGCUGGACCAGCUAGCAUGCAUAUUAUUUAUCAUCUUCUAAAUUUGACAUUUAAAUUAUUUAUCAUCUUCAUACAAAUAAAUGAAUUAAUUAAUGAAUGAUGAAGAAACUAACAGACAGAAGAUGAUAGUGUUGGUUACCAUUGAUCCUCUGGAUGAUGGACACAGGG
rnacentral:lncRNA from 1 species